CCCGGUUUAAGCGUGUAGGCUGGUUUUCCAGGCAAAUCCGGAAAAUCAAGGCUGAGGCGUGAUGACGAGGCACUGCGGUGCUGAAGCAACAAAUGCCCUGCUUCCAGGAAAAGCCUCUAAGCAUCAGGUAACAUCAAAUCGUACCCCAAACCGACACAGGUGGUCAGGUAGAGAAUACCAAGGCGCUUGAGAGAACUCGGGUGAAGGAACUAGGCAAAAUGGUGCCGUAACUUCGGGAGAAGGCACGCUGAUAUGUAGGUGAAGUCCCUCGCGGAUGGAGCUGAAAUCAGUCGAAGAUACCAGCUGGCUGCAACUGUUUAUUAAAAACACAGCACUGUGCAAACACGAAAGUGGACGUAUACGGUGUGACGCCUGCCCGGUGC
rnacentral:rRNA from 1 species